rnacentral:rRNA from 1 species
ACGGGGUGCAGCAGGCGCGAAAACUUUGCAAUGUGCGCAAGCACGACAAGGUUAAUCCGAGUGAUUCCUGCUAAAGGAAUCUUUUGCUAGUCCUAAAAACACUAGCGAAUAAGGGGUGGGCAAGUUCUGGUGUCAGCCGCCGCGGUAAAACCAGCACCUCAAGUGGUCAGGAGGAUUAUUGGGCCUAAAGCAUCCGUAGCCUGCUCUGUAAGUUUCCGGUUAAAUCCAUUAGCUUAACUGAUGGGCCGCCGGAAAAACUGCGGAGCUAGGGAGUGGGAGAGGUAGACGGUACUCAGUAGGAAGGGGUAAAAUCCUUUGAUCUAUUGAAGACCACCAGUGGCGAAGGCGGUCUACCAGAACACGUUCGACGGUGAGGGAUGAAAGCUGGGGGAGCAAACCGGAUUAGAUACCCGGGUAGUCCCAGCUGUAAACGAUGCAGACUCGGUGAUGCCCUGGCUUGUGGCCAGUGCAGUGCCGCAGGGAAGCCGUUAAGUUUGCCGCCUGGAAGUACGUACGCAAGUA